rnacentral:rRNA from 1 species
AGUUUGAUCAUGGCCAGAUUGAACGCUGGCGGGAUGCUUUACACAUGCAAGUCGAACGGCAGCACGGACUUCGGUCUGGUGGCGAGUGGCGAACGGGUGAGUAAUGUAUCGGAACGUGCCUAGUAGCGGGGGAUAACUACGCGAAAGCGUAGCUAAUACCGCAUGGCCGGGCCCUUCGGGGGAAAGCGGGGACCUUCGGGCCUCGCACUAUUAGAGCGGCCGAUAUCGGAUUAGCUAGUUGGUGGGGUAACGGCUCACCAAGGCGACGAUCCGUAGCUGGUUUGAGAGGACGACCAGCCACACUGACCGAGACACGGCCCAGACUCCUACGGGAGGCAGCAGUGGGGAAUUUUGGACAAUGGGGGAAACCCCGAUCCAGCCAUCCCGCGUGUGCGAUGAAGGCCUUCGGGUUGUAAAGCACUUUUUGGCAGGAAAGAAACGGCACGGGAUAAUACCCCGUGCAACUGACGGUACCUGCAGAAUAAGCACCGUUAACUACGCGCCAGCAGCCGCGGUAAUACGUAGGGUGCAAGCGUUAAUCGGAAUUACUGGGCGUAAAGCGUGCGCAGGCGGUUCGGAAAGAAAGAUGUGAAAUCCCAGAGCUUAACUUUGGAACUGCAUUUUUAACUACCGAGCUAGAGUGUGUCAGAGGGAGGUGGAAUUCUGGGCGUGUAGCAGUGAAAUGCGUAGAUAUGCGGAGGAACACCGAUGGCGAAGGCAGCCUCCUGGGAUAACACUGACGCUCAUGCACGAAAGCGUGGGGAGCAAACAGGAUUAGAUACCCUGGUAGUCCACGCCCUAAACGAUGUCAACUAGCUGUUGGGGCCUUCGGGCCUUGUAGCGCAGCUAACGCGUGAAGUUGACCGCCUGGGGAGUACGGUCGCAAGAUUAAAACUCAAAGGAAUUGACGGGACUCCGCACAAGCGGUGGAUGAUGUGGAUUAAUCUGAUGCAACGCGAAAAAAACCUUACCUACCCUUGACAUGUCUGGAAUCCUGAAGAGAUUUGGGAGUGCUCGCAAGAGAACCGGAACACAGGUGCUGCAUGGCUGUCGUCAGCUCGUGUCGUGAGAUGUUGGGUUAAGUCCCGCAACGAGCGCAACCUCCUUGUCAUUAGUUGCUACGAAAGGGCACUCUAAUGAGACUGCCGGUGAUAAACCGAGGAAGGUGGGGAUGACGUCAAGUCCUCAUGGCUCUUAUGGGUAGGGCUUCACACGUCAUACAAUGGUCGGGACAGAGGGUCGCCAACCCGCGAGGGGGAGCCAAUCCCAGAAACCCGAUCGUAGUCCGGAUCGAAGACCCGCAACCCGACUGCGUGAAGUCGGAAUCGCUAGUAAUCGCGGAUCAGCAUGUCGCGGUGAAUACGUUCCCGGGUCUUGUACACACCGCCCGUCACACCAUGGGAGUGGGUUUUACCAGAAGUAGUUAGCCUAACCGUAAGGAGGGCGAUUACCACGGUAGGAUUCAUGACUGGGGUGAAGUCGUAACAAGGUAG